UACGUAGGGGGCAAGCGUUGUCCGGAAUCAUUGGGCGUAAAGCGCGCGUAGGCGGCCCGGUAAGUCCGCUGUAAAAGUCAAAGGCUUAACCUUUGAAUGUCAGUGGAUACUGCCGGGCUAGAGUCCGGAAGAGGCGAGUGGAACUCCUGGUGUAGCGGUGGAAUGCGCAGAUAUCAGGAAGAACACCGACGGCGAAGGCAGCUCGCUGGGAAUGAUCUGACACUGAGACGCGAAAGCCAGGGGAGCGAACGGG
rnacentral:rRNA from 1 species